GCCCAAGUUAUUUGUUUUGGUAGACUGCGAUCCCUUUCGUACUUUUGACACGGGUUAGUUUGCUCGUCCUGUGGCUGAGGGACACCGGAAUCGAUUUUCUGAGCAUCGGGAGACAGCCCGAUUUGUUUUGUAGCUGGAAUCAAACAAUCAUUCUUUUUCGUUUUUACAAAAUUAUCAAGAUCAGCUCCUGUGAUGAGGAAUCGAUGACUGAAGAUAUCGAUUAUCGCUCCAAUAUAAAGAUCUCGAGGUGUGUAAAUUGGCACUUCUUCGUCGCAAUUCUCAAGCUUUGAAUGACUUUUUGGAAUGUGCCUCGAUGCCAGAAAACAUCCAGCUCGUCUCCCGGAAUUUUUUCUACUCAGUUCGUUAAUCUUUAUCGUUCCAUGGCUCAAACUGUACUCAAGGAUGAACUCUCGACCCUCGUCCUCGGGUCGCACCGCUACCAUCGUCAUAAGGGAUGUACAACUUGUUGGAUGAGGUGAAGCCAGGCAACGCGACGAUGAGGAGGUCGUUGGGAAGAUCCGAGGAGGUUGUUCGAUUCCCAACAUAUUUUUAUAAUAUCGGCGAGUGAAGGAGUCACAGUCCAAGAGGAGGAACUUACGUCCAAAAAUGAAGAUCGUUUCCCCUACCUAGAAAUCGGUAUUCAUUCGUGUUUUUAUGACAAUGGAACAUGCGGAGAUAUAUCAACAGACCUUUAAAUCCAUUGGACAAUAAUAUUCGACAACUUCUUCGUCAGUCCUCUCGAGGUAAAUGGACGGAUACCACACAGGAAGAUCAGUCCAGUUUUUCGGGAUUUUCGUCUUUUUCAGGAGCAUUCGGUUCGGAUCCUUUCCACUGUUUGGUCUAAUCAUUUCUUUCACUGCGAUUGUAUCAUCAGUGAGAAAGUACAUUAUUUGGUAUGAGUCCUCAUUCCAAAUAGCGUCAAACGUUAGAACCAUCCCAUCAAAUUCUAAAAAUCGCCUUCUGGGAUCUUCUUCCGGCCUGGGUUUUUUAGAGCGCGACGAAGAGGCUCUACUCACUGCCAGUUUCGCUAAGCGGUCCUGAGUAUAAGAGUCUGGUGGUGGCUGCUCCCUAUUCCCGGGAUCUAUUCCCUGACUACGCAUAUAUUCUUCUGUGAAGGUGUCACAGUCAACGGUGUGGUAAACAACUCCAUAAAUCGCUGAGAAUUAAUCAGGCAUUUUUUGAUUGAUUGAAUCGAGCAGUAAACAUGCGGAGAAAAGUAAAAAAUAUUUACAUAUAUUGAUCCCCACGUUGAGAUCCUUCCAGUGGUAAAAUGUUGGUGAAUUCUCCUUUGGAAUUUUUCCCCUUCGUACGAGUUUCCCCUGCUGCAAUCCGGCGUUAUCCACCGACGGUUCAAUAACGCACAUCGUGUCGUCUUCCAAAAAAUAGAUGAUAUUCACAUGGCGAAUUCGGAAAUGUUCCAUUGGAGAAUUGAAAACACUUUGACGAAAGAAAGCUUUAAAUUUCAAGCACUUCUGCGCAAAGAGAACGUAGUGAGGAAUUACUUGUCUGCAAGGAUAGUCCUUGUUUCUUCCGUAUGUUAACGAUGGAUCGUACCUGAAGACAAUUGCGCUUCAAUUAUUAGAAGGUGAUGAGGAAGUAUUUUAUUUUUUAAAUGAAGUGGUGAGGGAGCAGUUGAAGAAAAUGUAGAAUGUUCAUAGAUUAUUUUGCAAGUCUUGUGACAGGGGUGGAGGGCGGGGAGGGGGGAGAUUUAUGAGGAAUAUUCCCUGUUGAAUGGAUCACCCAAUUAUUCGGACAAUUUGCAAUGAUAAGGAGAAAUUUCGAACUAAAAAUAUACUGUUUAAUUUACUUGACUUACUGAAGGAAAUUCUCAUAAUGCCUUCCUGAGUAAGCGCUUGAGGCUGCAUCAACAGGACGCCUACCAGUACCAAUGAACGAAUCUCUAACUACUCGAUAUCCAUCCUUGUGGUCCAACUUUUGCUUCAAUUUAUGAUCGUGGUUCUUCACACGAAAUAUUAAUAAAAUUUACUACUGCUGUUCUUCACAUAGUUGGUUAAUUGAUGAAACUCCAAAAUUUAGAUAAACCAACGCAAUUUAUUUACUUACACAGGGGUUUUGAAAAGAAUAUCCAGGUAUCAAAGGUAGUGCCUCCAUAUCAAAAUAAAAUAAAUCAUUAACUAAAAAAUAUGAUAUUUAAUUAGUGAAAAUGCUACACUUGCCAUUGGCGUGAAAUAACUGUUCGCUUAUCGAUUAACUUUGCUCGUUGCUAAGUAACAUGGAAUAGAAAAGGAGAAUGAAUUGAAUGAAAAUAAUAAA